CCAAUUUUGCCCUUUAAAUAAAUCCUCUCUCUUUGACUUGGCGAUGAACCCUAAAGAGUUGAAAGGUCAAAUUGAAGUGUCCAGAACAGUUGAAGAUUUGACAUUAUAGGUUCUUGGUGAUUAGUCUUAUAUGAUGCCUCCUAAUGGAAGAAAGAAUCGUCGAAGUUUAGGUCCUGACAUCAUCAGCAACCUUCCUGAUCAUGUAAUCGAUGCGUUUGCCUUGUAAAGAUGCUGUGAGGACAAGUAUCUUAUCGAAAAAAUGGAGGAAUCACUGGUGUAGACUUACAAAGUUGAAGCUUGAUGAAUCUCUUUGGAAAACAAAAAAGGAUAAACUAUACCCUAUAGUUAAAUUUACAAAGAUUAUUUACCAAAUUUUGACCCUUCAUGAAGGACCCAUUACUAAGUUCAAGCUUGACGUUGUUGAUUCGAAAGGAUGUCCUAUGAUUGACAACUUCAUAAAUUUCCUCUCGAGGAAUGACAUUCAACAUCUUGUUCUUCAAUUUCCAUGGCAUGAGAUAUACAAAAUGCCUUCUUCACUUUUCGAAUGUUCGCAGCUGAGACAUUUGACUCUUCAUGAUUGCUUAAUACAUCCUCCAUCGGCCUUUAAAGGAUUUGAUAAGUUAAUUAGCCUGGAACUAUGUAGAGUCACAAUUUCUUCUGAAUUGCUCGAAAGUUUAAUAUCUCAUUGCCCGUUGCUUGAGCAGUUGGUGCUGGAAAUCUCAGAAGUUGUAAACAGAAUAUAAAUUAAUGCCCCCAUGCUGAGAUCCUUUGAUUUCACAGGCAGUAUAAGUUCUCUCUGUCUAAAGAAUGUUCCUCUUCUGACAAAAGCAUCUCUGAACUUAUGUCAAGGUUCUUCUAUGGAAGCAGAGAACUUUUAUCUUGCAAAAUUUUUCGAGUCUUGUUUUGCUCUCGAGCACCUCUGAUUUAGUGGCAAGUUUGAUGAUGCAGAAGCAGAUGAAGCACCAACAAGGCUUCCCUUUGAUCAUAAUCGGGCCAAGCAUUUGUACGUGCCUCAUAUGAUUCUGAGGGAAUCAUAUGAGUUGUCAUAUUAUAUUUGCUUGAUAAGAAGCUUCCCAUACUUGGAAUCAUUCGAAACUGAGGUUCUUAAUCGACAUGAUAAUGUUGUUGUAGAAUCGCUUGAACUCGAACAUUUCUCGGAUGUGACAUUUAAUCUCCUCAAGGAAGUUAAGCUAAAAAUCUUUUCAGGAAUAACACAUGAAAUGCAGCUUAUCAAGCAUUUCUUAGCCAAGUCCCCAGUGUUGGUAAGAGUGCUAAUCGAUCCAUCGGAUCUAUGUAACAUAAAUCUCAUAUCUCUUGACAGAAGAUCAGAAAUAUUCGCUGAGUUCUCAAACUUUUUCCGUGCAUCACCUAAAGCAGAAGUAGUCUACAUGUAUUUAGAUAACGAAACAAGUAGAUUUAAUCAGAUCGUGAACUUCGACUGAAAUGUUUUGGAAGUUACAAUUGAACAGAUUGCAACAAACGCCGAUGUAGUAGUAUAACACUGUGUUUUGCCUUGUCGUAAUAGGAUGAAGAGACGAGUGAAUAUCUGUUUGGCAACAUGAGCAUUUUUGGAUGGAUGUUUGGAGUGGUUUGUUCUGUAUAACAUUGCCAUCAUAUGUUAAGGAUUUAUACAUUUAGUUGCCUGCUCAUGAAUGAUAUAUGGAAUGUGACAUACACAUGAAUUGAUACAGUGGAGGUAUUUUUCAAUAUAUUUUUUGAAUUAUGAUGUGGUUCAGGCUAGCUUGCGCGCACAUGUUUGUAUAUAGCAAGCUUGAAGCACUUUGCGGCUAUUGCCCGUAAGGUAGAAGCAUGGAGAUUUGAUAUUGGUAUGAAUUUUAUAGUUUCACUAGCUAGCACAUAUGCUUCAUUUUUGUUUUGUUGAAAAAAUUACUCAAUAGUAAUUAGUGCAUGUCUUGCGUCAAUAUAUGGAUAUCCUAAAGGCAAAUUACAUAAGUUGUCACCUGACCUAUGGCCCAAAUUCCCCCUUACACACUUUCCAUGGACGAUAAUAAUAUUGCACACGCAACCUUUCUAAAGUGUAUCUAGUACACACCUCCUUUGACCAGGUCUAAGCGUGUGUAACACAAAACGGUAGAAGCGCGUGGACAGUAGAAGUAGACAAUUUCUGACUUAAAUCAACGGCCAGAAACAAAUCCCAACGGCCAUUUUUAAAUAAAUAAAAGGGCCCUCAACCCAUUUCUUCUCAAAUUGGACCUGUAUUCACCUUCUUCCUCCUCCUUGAAAGCUCGAAGUUGCAGAAAAUUUCUUCUUCUUGACAUCUUCUUAUGCGUUUUUUUGUUGCCAAUAUUACAAUCUUCUUCUACUUCUUCCUUCUCUUUUUCGACAUUAGGGUUUAAUUUCUAGGGUUCAAUUUUAGGGUUAGGGAAAAUGCAUAAUCUGAGAAAAUUUUGUUAUUGUGGUGAAGAAGCUGUGGUGAUACAGUCAUGGAGUAUUGAUAAUCCUGGUCGUCGAUUUUACGGAUGUCCAUUUUAUGAGAGGGGCAGUCGCUCGGUAUGUAAUUUCUUUGUGUGGUUUGAUCCCCCACCUCCAGAACACUUGAAAAUUGUGAUUUUGGGGCUGCUUAAGAAGAAGAGGGCGUUUGAUGCAUUAUUGAAGGAAAAUAGGAAUCAAAGAAAUUGGAGGAGAUUGUGUGUGCUGAUUUUAAUUGUAAUUGUAUUGAAGUUGACUGUGUUUGGUUGUUCUAAAGAUUGCUAUAUAAUGUAAGAAAAUGAAUGAAGCUUUUUGGUGGAUUUUGUA